GACGAACGCUGGCGGCGUGCUUAACACAUGCAAGUCGAACGGAAAGGCCCUGCUUUUGUGGGGUGCUCGAGUGGCGAACGGGUGAGUAACACGUGAGUAACCUGCCCUUGACUUUGGGAUAACUUCAGGAAACUGGGGCUAAUACCGGAUAGGAGCUCCUGCUGCAUGGUGGGGGUUGGAAAGUUUCGGCGGUUGGGGAUGGACUCGCGGCUUAUCAGCUUGUUGGUGGGGUAGUGGCUUACCAAGGCUUUGACGGGUAGCCGGCCGAGAGGGUGACCGGCCACAUUGGGACUGAGAUACGGCCCAGACUCCUACGGGAGGCAGCAGUGGGGAAUAUUGCACAAUGGGCGGAAGCCUGAUGCAGCAAUGCCGCGUGCGGGAUGACGGCCUUCGGGUUGUAAACCGCUUUCGCCUGUGACGAAGCGUGAGUGACGGUAAUGGGUAAAGAAGCACCGGCUAACUACGUG
rnacentral:rRNA from 1 species